rnacentral:tRNA from 2 species
GGUCGGAUGGCCGAGCGGUUAUGGCGCCAGGUUAAGGUCACCUUAACGUGUUUCCUGGUGGAGCAAUCCUCGUGGGUUCGAAUCCCACUCCGAUCA